CGCUGGCGGCACGCCUAAUACAUGCAAGUCGAACGAAGUAGCAAUACUUAGUGGCAGACGGGUGAGUAACAUGUGGGUAUCUUCCCUUUGGUGAGGAAUAACACGAGGAAACUUGUGCUAAUACCUCAUAAGUCUUUACGGAGAAAGCUUUAUGCGCCAAUGGAUGAGCCUGCACUUGAUUAGUUUGUUGGUGAGGUAAUGGCUCACCAAGACUUUGAUCAAUAGCUGAUUUGAGAGGAUGAUCAGCCACAUUGGGACUGAGACACGGCCCAAACUCCUACGGGAGGCAGCAGUAGGGAAUCUUGCACAAUGGGGGAAACCCUGAUGCAGCGAUGCCGCGUGAGUGAAGAAGGCCUUUGGGUUGUAAAGCUCUUUCGUCGGGGAAGAAAAUGACUGUACCCGAAUAAGAAGGUCCGGCUAACUUCGUGCCAGCAGCCGCGGUAAUACGAAGGGACCUAGCGUAGUUCGGAAUUACUGGGCUUAAAGAGUUCGUAGGUUGUUAAAAAAGUUGGUGGUGAAAUCCCAGAGCUUAACUCUGGAACUGCCAUCAAAACUUUUUAGCUAGAGUUUGAUAGAGGAAAGCAGAAUUUCUAGUGUAGAGGUGAAAUUCGUAGAUAUUAGAAAGAAUACCAAUUGCGAAGGCAGCUUUCUGGAUCAUUACUGACACUGAGGAACGAAAGCAUGGGUAGCGAAGAGGAUUAGAUACCCUCGUAGUCCAUGCCGUAAACGAUGUGUGUUAGACGUUGGAAAUUUAUUUUCAGUGUCGCAGCGAAAGCAAUAAACACACCGCCUGGGGAGUACGACC
rnacentral:rRNA from 1 species